rnacentral:rRNA from 1 species
GAUGAACGCUGGCGGCGUGCCUAAUACAUGCAAGUCGAGCGAACGGACGAGAAGCUUGCUUCUCUGAUGUUAGCGGCGGACGGGUGAGUAACACGUGGAUAACCUACCUAUAAGACUGGGAUAACUUCGGGAAACCGGAGCUAAUACCGGAUAAUAUUUUGAACCGCAUGGUUCAAAAGUGAAAGACGGUCUUGCUGUCACUUAUAGAUGGAUCCGCGCUGCAUUAGCUAGUUGGUAAGGUAACGGCUUACCAAGGCAACGAUGCAUAGCCGACCUGAGAGGGUGAUCGGCCACACUGGAACUGAGACACGGUCCAGACUCCUACGGGAGGCAGCAGUAGGGAAUCUUCCGCAAUGGGCGAAAGCCUGACGGAGCAACGCCGCGUGAGUGAUGAAGGUCUUCGGAUCGUAAAACUCUGUUAUUAGGGAAGAACAUAUGUGUAAGUAACUGUGCACAUCUUGACGGUACCUAAUCAGAAAGCCACGGCUAACUACGUGCCAGCAGCCGCGGUAAUACGUAGGUGGCAAGCGUUAUCCGGAAUUAUUGGGCGUAAAGCGCGCGUAGGCGGUUUUUUAAGUCUGAUGUGAAAGCCCACGGCUCAACCGUGGAGGGUCAUUGGAAACUGGAAAACUUGAGUGCAGAAGAGGAAAGUGGAAUUCCAUGUGUAGCGGUGAAAUGCGCAGAGAUAUGGAGGAACACCAGUGGCGAAGGCGACUUUCUGGUCUGUAACUGACGCUGAUGUGCGAAAGCGUGGGGAUCAAACAGGAUUAGAUACCCUGGUAGUCCACGCCGUAAACGAUGAGUGCUAAGUGUUAGGGGGUUUCCGCCCCUUAGUGCUGCAGCUAACGCAUUAAGCACUCCGCCUGGGGAGUACGACCGCAAGGUUGAAACUCAAAGGAAUUGACGGGGACCCGCACAAGCGGUGGAGCAUGUGGUUUAAUUCGAAGCAACGCGAAGAACCUUACCAAAUCUUGACAUCCUUUGACAACUCUAGAGAUAGAGCUUUCCCCUUCGGGGGACAAAGUGACAGGUGGUGCAUGGUUGUCGUCAGCUCGUGUCGUGAGAUGUUGGGUUAAGUCCCGCAACGAGCGCAACCCUUAAGCUUAGUUGCCAUCAUUAAGUUGGGCACUCUAAGUUGACUGCCGGUGACAAACCGGAGGAAGGUGGGGAUGACGUCAAAUCAUCAUGCCCCUUAUGAUUUGGGCUACACACGUGCUACAAUGGACAAUACAAAGGGCAGCGAAACCGUGAGGUCAAGCAAAUCCCAUAAAGUUGUUCUCAGUUCGGAUUGUAGUCUGCAACUCGACUACAUGAAGCUGGAGUCGCUAGUAAUCGUAGAUCAGCAUGCUACGGUGAAUACGUUCCCGGGUCU